AUCAACUUUCGAUGGUAGGAUAGAGGCCUACCAUGGUGGUAACGGGUAACGGGGUGUUAGGGCACGACACCGGAGGGGGAGCCUGAGAAACGGCUACCACAUCCAAGGAUGGCAGCAGGCGCGCAAAUUACCCAAUCCCGACACGGGGAGGUAGUGACAAUAAAUAACAAUACGGGGUUCUUUCGGAUUUCGUAAUUGGAAUGAGUACAAUUUAAAUCUCUUAACGAGGAACAAUUGGAGGGCAAGUCUGGUGCCAGCAGCCGCGGUAAUUCCAGCUCCAAUAGCGUAUAUUAAAGUUGCUGCAGUUAAAAAGCUCGUAGUUGAAUUUCGGGACCAUCAUGUCGGUCGUGCCUCGGUACGUACUGGCAUUGUUGGUUUCUCCCUUCUGACGAACCAUGAUGUCAUUUAUUUGGUGUUGUGGGGAACCAGGACUGUUACUUUGAAAAAAUUAGAGUGUUUAAAGCAGGCUCACGCUUGAAUACAUUAGCAUGGAAUAAUGAAAUAGGACGUUUGAUUCUAUAUUGUUGGUUUCUAGGAUCGACGUAAUGAUUAAUAGGGAUAGUUGGGGGCAUUGGUAUUGAGUCGCUAGAGGUGAAAUUCUUGGAUUGACUCAAGACCAACUACUGCGAAAGCAUUUGCCAAGGAUGUUUUCAUUAAUCAAGAACGAAGGUUAGGGGAUCGAAAACGAUCAGAUACCGUUGUAGUCUUAACAGUAAACUAUGCCGACUAGGGAUCGGGCGACCUCAAUUUUGAUGCGUCGCUCGGCACCUUACGGGAAACCAAAGUGUUUGGGUUC
rnacentral:sRNA from 1 species